rnacentral:rRNA from 1 species
AAGCCCGAGAGAGCCGCAGUGAAAAGAUCCAAGCGACUGUUUAGCAAAAACACAGGUCUCUGCGAAGCCGCAAGGCGAAGUAUAGGGGCUGACACCUGCCCGGUGCUGGAAGGUUAAGAGGAGGGGUUAUCCCUUACGGGAGAAGCUCUGAAUUGAAGCCCCAGUAAACGGCGGCCGUAACUAUAACGGUCCUAAGGUAGCGAAAUUCCUUGUCGGGUAAGUUCCGACCCGCACGAAUGGUGUAACGAUUUGGAUACUGUCUCAACGAGAGACCCGGUGAAAUUAUAGUACCUGUGAAGAUGCAGGUUACCCGCGACAGGACGGAAAGACCCCAUGGAGCUUUACUGUAGCUUGAUAUUGGAUGUUGGUACAGUUUGUACAGGAUAGGUAGGAGCCUUGGAAACCGGAGCGCCAGCUUCGGUGGAGGCGUCGGUGGGAUACUACCCUGACUGUGCUGACAUUCUAACCUCGAGCCGUGAUCCGGUUCAGGGACAGUGUCAGGUGGGCAGUUUGACUGGGGCGGUCGCCUCCUAAACAGUAACGGAGGCGCCCAAAGGUUCCCUCAGAAUGGUUGGAAAUCAUUCGUAGAGUGCAAAGGCAUAAGGGAGCUUGACUGCGAGACCUACAAGUCGAGCAGGGACGAAAGUCGGGCUUAGUGAUCCGGUGGUUCCGCAUGGAAGGGCCAUCGCUCAACGGAUAAAAGCUACCCUGGGGAUAACAGGCUUAUCUCCCCCAAGAGUCCACAUCGACGGGGAGGUUUGGCACCUCGAUGUCGGCUCAUCGCAUCCUGGGGCUGAAGUAGGUCCCAAGGGUUGGGCUGUUCGCCCAUUAAAGCGGUACGCGAGCUGGGUUCAGAACGUCGUGAGACAGUUCGGUCCCUAUCCGUCGCGGGCGUAGGAAAUUUGAGAGGAGCUGUCCUUAGUACGAGAGGACCGGGAUGGACACACCGCUGGUGUACCAGUUGUUCCGCCAGGAGCAUCGCUGGGUAGCUACGUGUGGACGGGAUAAGUGCUGAAAGCAUCUAAGCAUGAAGCCCCCCUCAAGAUGAGAUUUCCCAUGGAGUUAAUCCAGUAAGACCCCUUAGAGAUGAUGAGGUUGAUAGGUCUGGUGUGGAAGCGUGGCGACACGUGGAGCUGACAGAUACUAAUCGGUCGAGGACUUAUCCAAA